rnacentral:rRNA from 1 species
UACGUAGGGUGCAAGCGUUGUCCGGAAUUAUUGGGCGUAAAGAGCUCGUAGGCGGUCUGUUGCGUCGGCUGUGAAAACCCGGGGCUCAACUCCGGGCCUGCAGCCGAUACGGGCAGACUAGAGUUCGGCAGGGGAGACUGGAAUUCCUGGUGUAGCGGUGAAAUGCGCAGAUAUCAGGAGGAACACCGGUGGCGAAGGCGGCUAUCUGGACGGAGUCUGACGCUGAGGCGCGAAAGCUAGGGGAGCAAACAGG